rnacentral:rRNA from 1 species
AGUGAACGCUGGCGGUAGGCCUAACACAUGCAAGUCGAACGGCAGCACAGUAAGAGCUUGCUCUUACGGGUGGCGAGUGGCGGACGGGUGAGGAAUACAUCGGAAUCUACUUUUUCGUGGGGGAUAACGUAGGGAAACUUACGCUAAUACCGCAUACGACCUACGGGUGAAAGCAGGGGAUCUUCGGACCUUUCGCGAUUGAAUGAGCCGAUGUCGGAUUAGCUAGUUGGCGGGGUAAAGGCCCACCAAGGCGACGAUCCGUAGCUGGUCUGAGAGGAUGAUCAGCCACACUGGAACUGAGACACGGUCCAGACUCCUACGGGAGGCAGCAGUGGGGAAUAUUGGACAAUGGGCGAAAGCCUGAUCCAGCAAUACCGCGUGGGUGAAGAAGGCCUUCGGGUUGUAAAGCCCUUUUGUUGGGAAAGAAAAGCAGCAGGUUAAUACACCGAUGUUCUGACGGUACCCAAAGAAUAAGCACCGGCUAACUUCGUG